rnacentral:tRNA from 1 species
GCGCCCGUAGCUCAGUCGGAAGAGCACCGGCCUUCUAAGCCGAUGGUCGCAGGUUCGAGCCCUGCCGGGCGUGCCA